UACGUAGGGUGCGAGCGUUGCCCGGAUUUAUUGGGCGUAAAGAGCCCGUAGGCGGUCUGUUGCGUCGGCUGUGAAAACCCGGGGCUCAACCCCGGGCCUGCAGCCGAUACGGGCAGACUAGAGUUCGGCAGGGGAGACUGGAAUUCCUGGUGUAGCGGUGAAAUGCGCAGAUAUCAGGAGGAACACCGGUGGCGAAGGCGGGUCUCUGGGCCGAUACUGACGCUGAGGAGCGAAAGCGUGGGGAGCGAACAGG
rnacentral:rRNA from 1 species